rnacentral:rRNA from 1 species
CUCUUCAGCGAUUCGACGUUCGACGCGGCGAUCUACUUCGGCCACGCGCUGUGGCCCGGCACGCAGGGGCGGCUGCUGUUCCUCGAAGGCGACAUGCUGCCCGUCUGCAGCCCGGCGCUGCUGGGCGCGAACGGGCGGCGCAUCACGCGCGACGCGCUGCUCGAUCUGCCGCUGCUGCACCUGUCGACGCGCGCGGACGCGUGGCGCGACUGGUUUCGCGCGCAAGGCCUCGACAACGAUCUGCGCGCGGUGCGCGGCCCGCGCUACGAGCUGUUCACGAUGCUGACGGCGGCCGCGCACGCGGGCAUGGGCGUCGCGCUGAUGCCGGCGCUGCUCGUCGCGGACGAGCUCGCAUCGGGCCGCCUUUGCGCGCCGCUCGACCUGCGGCUGCCGAGCGACGCCGGCUAUUACCUCGUCGCGCCGGACGCGGCCGCCGACAGCGAGCCGUUCGUCGCGUUGGCCGAAUGGCUGGGUUCCGUCUCGCCGGCGCGGCCGAUAAGCUGACGCGACGCUCCUGUUCAUCCGUUCAUCGGCCGGCGGCAGGCCGGCCACGCGAGACCGACCAUGACCAUUCGCAUCGACGACAUCGUGCCGCUGUCCAUCGCACGCGCGCGCUUUUCCGAGCUGGCGGACGACGCGCGGGACGGCGGCGAGAAGAUCAUCACGAAGAACGGCGCGGCGUAUGUCGCGCUGAUCGACGCGAGACGGCUCGAUCACUAUCAUCGGCUCGAGCGCGAGCGGGCGGAAUGCGCCUGCGCGGCGCUACUGCACGGCGGCGGCGGCGAUGGUCGCGAUAGCGACGAUAGGGGCAAUGGAGGCGACGCAGCCUGUGACGCAGCCCGCGGCGGCGGACGCGACAGUCCGGACGGCCGUGGCGCCGCGAUCGCCGCCGGGCGGGAGACGGGUGCGGCGAAUGCAACGGAUGCAACGGGUGCGCCGGGGACGAUGGGCGCGAUGGCUGCACCGUGCGAUAGCGACGGCGCCGAUGCGCUCGCCCCCGAUGCGCCGUCGGCCGAGCGGCGCGCCGGACCCGAUUGAGACCUCGGCGGUCUGGGCAUCGACGGCGGAGCACGGCCGACGCGCGUGGCGCAUCCGGCCGCGCGCAUCGCGAACGGACGAACGCGCCGCAUCCGCCGCGCCGCCGGCGCCGGCGCCGUGCACGAUACGCGGCGCGCCCGCGUCCAUCCGUGCAGACGCGGCUUCCUCGCAGGCAAGACAACCGAUACGAUAAUCCGCUCAUCCGCUCUCGAGCGGCCCGCACGGUCCCAACGACAUCCGCAUGCAGAACUACUACGAAGCCACGGUCACGCGCACGCCCUACCCCGCGCUCGCCGAACGCAUCGAUACCGACGUGUGCAUCGUCGGCGGCGGCCUGGCCGGCCUGUCGACAGCCCUCGGG